UACGGGGGGGGCAAGCGUUGUUCGGAAUUACUGGGCGUAAAGGGCUCGUAGGUGGCCAACUAAGUCAGACGUGAAAUCCCUCGGCUUAACCGGGGAACUGCGUCUGAUACUGGAUGGCUAGAGUUUGGGAGAGGGAUGCGGAAUUCCAGGUGUAGCGGUGAAAUGCGCAGAUAUCGGGAGGAACACCGGUGGCGAAGGCGGUUCUCUGGGCCUUACCUGACGCUGAGGAGCGAAAGCGUGGGGAGCGAACAGG
rnacentral:rRNA from 1 species